CUACUGCUUUUGCGGCGCUUCGCAAUGCGGCACACAAUACAGCAUGGAAACAUCUCAAGUCUCUGUAAGACUUGGAAGACAUAAUUCACCGUCACCUUGCAUGCAUAAGGAGUCAACCCAGGCAGGGAUGCAGAUGUCACAUAUCUUCAUUGUAAGCUCUAAUCCCAAGAAAAUCCCCUUUUGGAGAAGAGGGUGUUAGUAAUGCAUCUGUUCUGAUCCACAUUCCAAGAAAAAUGUCAGCAUUUGAUGGUAACAAAAGCAGCCAUCUCUGAAACUUCUCCUGGAAGCAGAAUUCCAUGUACACCUGCUGGGAAUGGGACAGACACCUGGAUCUUAGGUAUAAAGUGCUCCUGUUUAAAAGAAACAGCACGGUGCAUAUGAGUUUGGAACGGAUAACACCAGACAUGUACGUGGAAGGCAAAAUCACGAAACCGUGUUUCACUUAUUUUGGCCAUGUCAUGAGGAAAUUCACUGGAGAAAGUAGUUGUCAACGUUGUGACAACUAGCUAUAUUUGGAAGAAUUAGAGGUAAAAGGAAAUCAGACCACCAAAAAGCAUCGGCUGGAUACCAUCAAGGCCGACACUAGCCAGAACAUAAAACAACUCAAGGAAGCAGCAUAGGAUUGGAUGAGGUGAAGAGACCUGGCCCAUAGAAUUGCCAAGAAUCAGUGAAUGGAUUGAAUGGAUAACAUCAUUAUCGACAGAUCUAUAAGCUUUUAAAUAACCUGCAUCUACUGCAAACCUAUGCAAACGGACCAGAUCCUCAGCUUCGCAAGCAACCACCCCACUGUGUCCAGAUCUCUUCCGAAGGGCCAGGACACAGCACCACAACAAUAAGAAAAGCAGAAGAAAAAUGGCUACUUGAUAUCUUUCUCUGCUAUCCAAAAAACUUCAAAUUCUGAUACCCAGAACCCAAACCACACCACACACCCAACCGCCAUGCAAAAACUAGCCUUACCAUACACACAUGGGAUGUUGGAAAUGACAGCCAGAAUUCUCCAACCCCUAGGAAUAGCAAUAGCCCACAAACCCAUAGCCACACAACACCAGGAUUUAUCCAGAACCAAAGACGAAGACACAGAAGGAUGAA